rnacentral:rRNA from 1 species
GAUGAACGCUGGCGGCGUGCCUAAUACAUGCAAGUCGAGCGGACGGACGGGGAGCUUGCUUGGCUUAAGUUAGCGGCGGGCGGGUGAGUAACACGUAUAUAACUUACAUAUAAGGCUAAGAUCACUUCGGGAGACCGGAGAUAACACAGGAUAAUAUGUUGAAACUCGUGGUUCAACGGAGAACACGGGUUUUGCUGACACUUGUUGGUGGUUCCUAGUUGCAUUAGCUAGUUGGUAAGGUAACGGCCUACCAAGGCAACGAUGCGUAGAUGAUCUGAGAGGGUGAUCGGCCACACUGGAACUGAGACACGGUCCAGACUCCUACGGGAGGCAGCAGUAGGGAAUCUUCCGCAAUGGGCGAAAGCCUGACGGAGCAACGCCGCGUGUGUGAUGAAGGUCUUCGGAUCGUAAAACUCUGUUAGUAGGGAAGAACAGAUGUGUGAGAAUCCCUGCAUGUCUUGACGGUACCUAAACAGAAAGCAACGGCUAACUACGUG